GGAGGAGACUAUAUUUAAAAGAAGAAAAACUACCACAACAAGAGGACAUAGUCUUAAAUUAGAGGGACAAAGGUUUUAAAAAUAAUAUCAGGAAGUAUUACUUUACUGAGAGGGUAGUGGAUGCAUGGAAUAGCCUUCCAGCUGAAGUGGUAGAGGUUAACACAGUAAAGGAGUUUAAGCAUGCAUGGGAUAGGCAUAAGGCUAUCCUAACUAUAAGAUAAGGC